GCCCAGGCUUCAAGACCAAGCAGCAGCUCCUGGGCCAAGCCUCAUCUUGCCCAGUGUGGCCUGUCAAGAUGACGGCCUGGAAGAGAAGCCAGACUGGGCAGCCAGGCCUCUGCCCCUCCCCUUGCCUGGUGGCACAGCCAGCACUGGCUCACUGGUGAGUUGACUAAUUUCCUCCGCCACCAUUAGUUGUCCAUGUUCAUUGCUGCCUGACACCCAACACCAGUCUGCAAGGGCACCAGGAGGGGAUGGAAGAGACAGGGUGUCUGGGGAAGGGUGGGUCUGAGUGCGAGGGGGUGGGUGAGCUUGUCUCAGAGCCUGACGCUGGCUGGUGGUAUCUGCGUUACCCAGGCUGACCCAGCUCUCUCUGAUGCAGACAGGCGAGGGCCUCACACACUUCAGAGAAUUCACACCCACAUGAUGAGGCUGAGAGGAGCAGGACGCACAGACACAUGGCAGGCACCAGGAGAGCCAGGCUGCUCUGCUCUGCUGGCGAUCCAUGUGCUGUCCCCCUCUGUCUCUUGACUUUAUUUUCCAUCAGGAGAGCGCCUCCCUUAUUACCCUUGGGAGGUAAGGGACAAACACAAACACAUGAUGACUAACCUCAGGCCCAACCCCCUGCAGAGAGGGGUCAGGGUUGGGGGCUGUCAAGAACAAGGAGGCACAAGGCACCCAGAACCCGUCUAGUCCAGCCUUUAAACUGUGGGGAGAAUACAGGGAGCUCAGGAGCAAACUCUGAAGGAACCCCUGGGCCUGGGUCUUCUCCGAAAACCCCCGUUCUCUCCUCCAGGGAAAGCUCACAACUCCUCACAGCGAUCUGGUAUCUUGAGCGUCAGUUUCUGGCCGAAACUGGGGGCUCCUGACUGAACUCCCUCCCACCUAGAAAACCUUCUGUGCAGUCUGAUUGCUCCAACACCCACAGAGCAGGAUUCAGGUAUCCCGGAGACCUUGGGAGGUCCCCAUCCAGAGGUCUGCUGUCCUGCCAGGCUUGGGGCAGCAGGGACUGGGACCCCACUCAGACCUCUCUGGGGCAAAUGUUUUGGUUCUCACAACAGCCCUAGUGAAAUCAAUCCUAGAUACUCCCAUUUGGUCCCACCAAGGCCAUUUAAUUUCUCUGUAAAGGGUAAGAUGACACAAAAGAGCCAACUAUGGAAACGGUGAGGUGGGAGUCUGAACCGAUUUAGCUGUUCUCAGGGCGCACAGGGUGUUGACGGUGGUUUUCAUCUGCCACCUGCCUCCUUGAGACCCAGCUGGCCUGAGUGUGCACGAAAUGGGACCUUCUCCUUGGGUCCACCAGGCUGGGAGGCACCCCUAGGUACCCGGCUCCUCAUCACAGCGGCAGCCCUCUCGGUUCCACAUCUGGUUCUCCUGACGAAGCCGCUGGUUUUCGGUCCGGAGCCUCUGGACCUCGGCAGCCAGCUCCUCCACCUGGCGGCAGGACUGCUGGCCGGUGCACGCCUGCAGCUGCUGCAGCCUCCUAGUCUCCUCCUCCGCCUGCGACAGCCGCUUCUCCAGCUCCAGGUAGUCUCGCACCAGCUCCUGCUUGCUGCGGCCCUGCAGGCUCUCGGUGUGGAAGCGUUCGUAAGUCUCAGAGAAGUCCUUCCGCUGGAACUCACCGUGCGCUCGGCCCCGCCCAUCACUGUCCCCGGCCUCACUCUCCCCACUGGAACCUGGGUGGGAGAUCCCAUGGGGCACAUCCAAGUUGGGCUCCUCCGGGUCCCUGUCAUUCAUCAGGAACUGGGUGGUGUUGUAGGGGGCCACGGGCUGGCCUUUGGCGAACAUCUCUUCGCGGACCCGGGAGGCCCUCUGGCUCUGCCUCUCAUCCCGCUGUUGUUUCUCAGCCCAGCUCAGCUCCAGGUAGGGUCGCCAGUGCCUUUUGCGCUUCGAUGGCCGCCGACGGUGUUUCUUCCGGGCCAGCACAGCCUCCGCUGAGCAGCCCCCUGGGCUCUGGGUCCGGGGACUCCUACUGUUCCAGCCCAGGCCACCGACAGCCCCAGCAAGAUCUUCAUCCUCUGAGUGGCUCUCCAUCCGCGGUGUCAGGGGCAGGGAACCACCAGAGUCAUGACGCUCAGGGGGUGUUUGGGGGCUCCCCGGGGCACCAGAGGUCUAAAGAGAGGGAGGAGGAAGAAGGAUGGAUCAGACAGCCUGUCCUUGGAGGUGGAACCUUUCCCUCUCUACCUAGCCUGAAGCCUACCUUCCUACACUCAGCUAACUUGGUCACUCUUAGCCCCUCAACCUUUUGGAACCAUUUGUUUACAAAGAGACCUGUCUACUGUCUGUCCCCCAACCUUCCCCAAGUAAACUCAUGGUGAGAGCAGGAAUUUUGCCUGUGUGUUUCACUCUGUAAUUUCAAUGCCUAGAAUAAUACCUGGCACUGAGUAGGAGUUCCAUAAAUACUGUCCAAAUGAGUAAAGUAGGAGAAGAAGAAAACUGGGAUAGAAGGUGGAUCUUGAUGCAUUUGCUUGAUCAGAAGCCCAAAUGGCACCGGCUCUUCCCUCUUCCCAGAAAACCUGACUUUCAAACACCACUGGCUUCAUGGGCAGGUGACCUGUGAAGUCCCACAGAGGCCCCACACCUGGCUUCAUGCUGUCCUUCUCUUAAACAUGUUAUUCAAAAAAAAAAAAAACCUUA
rnacentral:lncRNA from 1 species